AAAGCCCCCUUCGGGGGGCAAGUAGAGUGGCGCACGGGUGAGUAACACGUAGGUAAUCUACCUUUGGAUGGGGAAUAACAACCGGAAACGGUUGCUAAUACCGCAUAAUGCAGCGGCACCUAAUGGUGACAGUUGUUAAAGCGGGGGAUCGCAAGACCUCGCGUCUGAAGAGGAGCCUGCGGCAGAUUAGCUAGUUGGUAAGGUAAAGGCUUACCAAGGCGAUGAUCUGUAGCCGGCCUGAGAGGGCGGUCGGCCACACUGACACUGACAUACGGGUCAGACUCCUACGGGAGGCAGCAGUCGGGAAUUUUGGGCAAUGGGCGAAAGCCUGACCCAGCAACGCCGCGUGAAGGAUGAAAUCCCUCGGGAUGUAAACUUCGCAAGAACGGGAAGAAUAAGUAAGAGCUAACAUCUCUUAUGAUGACGGUACUGUUUGUAAGCUCCGGCUAACUCCGUGCCAGCAGCCGCGGUAAUACGGGGGGAGCAAGCGUUGUUCGGAUUUACUGGGCGUAAAGGGCGCGUAGGCGGCCACCGCAAGUCGACUGUGAAAUCUCCGGGCUUAACUCGGAAAGGUCAGCCGAUACUGCGGGGCUAGAGUGCAGAAGGGGCAACUGGAAUUCUCGGUGUAGCGGUGAAAUGCGUAGAUAUCGAGAGGAACACCUGCGGCGAAGGCGGGUUGCUGGGCUGACACUGACGCUGAGGCGCGAAAGCUAGGGGAGCGAACGGGAUUAGAUACCCCGGUAGUCCUAGCCUUAAACGAUGAAUGCUUGGUGUC
rnacentral:rRNA from 1 species